ACAUGGCCAAUGCAGUGUUUUUGUUAAGUAGCCUUCAGGAAUGUUUCCUCUUUUCUGUGGGGUUACCUUUGGGUUAUCUUCUCUAUUAAGUGUGGAUCCCUGAAAAAUGGCAUACCCUGGUGGUUUUUCUAGACCCUGCUGAAAUCCUUUGAAGGAACGUACUUAUUUGUCAAGAUUCGUCUAAAAAUGUGGUCUCCAGAAAUGAACAUAGAUGUGCUGUGAGCUCCUUGCAGUUGUGAUUGCGGCACUGAUAAUUAAGAUUGGUUUAGUUGUUCUGUCGUACUUCAUCAAAUUGUUGAUUCACAUUGAAUUUAUCAAACGUCAUUCUAUUCUAAAAUUUUAAAGUAUUUUUAACUUAAAUGUAGGAAUUCACAUGUAUCCAGGACAAAUAAAUUUUUGUGAAACAUUGCAGGUGUUAGAUGGAUUUGGGAGAAUUUUCCAAACUAAGUGGAGGAACUUAUAUAGCUACAUAAAUAAUUUUACCAAAUGUUGCAAGAACUCUGGAGUUCUUAUGGUAGUAAAAUGCCGGAAAGAAAAUUCUGCAUUGAAAG
rnacentral:sRNA from 1 species